CUGUAGCCAGUUAGGCUGACUAGAUUCCUUUCUUUAUGGAGGCCUGGUAUACAAAGGUGGCAAACAUAAGUAGCUUAUGCAGUCUAUGUGGGUUGCCCUGGGGGGACCUUGGAGACAGUG
ensembl:snoRNA LOC120094445 small nucleolar RNA SNORA70